AUCAUUAUUGAUUUAUUAUAUUUGUGGUAUUUCUAUGCUAGCCGUAAGGCAAACUUAAAACGUAACCAAACUAAAAAAAACAAAAAUUAAAACUUUUAACAACGGAUCUCUUGGUUCUCGCAUCGAUGAAGAACGCAGCGAAUUGCGAUAAGUUUUGUGAAUUGCAGAAGUGAAUCAUCAAUUUUUGAACGCACAUUGCGCCCUGUGGUACUCCACAGGGCAUACCUGUUUGAGCGUUGUUUCUACUUGAGAUUGCCUUGGCUUUCUUGAAAUGUAUACAUCAAAUAAGUUUGACACCAACGUAAACUCAACCUCAGAUCAGGUAGGACUACCCGCUGAACUUAAGCAUAUCAAUAAGCGGAGGAAAAGAAACCAACAGGGAUUGCCUCAGUAACGGCGAGUGAAGCGGCAAGAGCUCAAAUUUGAAAUCGGCCUCCAGGUCGAGUUGUAAUUUGUAGACUGUAUCUUGGGUGUGUGGUGAAAGUCUGUUGGAACACAGCGCCAUAGAGGGUGAGAGCCCCGUAAACUACUACCCAUUGUAAGAUACUUUCAAAGAGU
rnacentral:rRNA from 1 species